GCAACACCACUAGCGGCGGCCGGGGUAAUACGUAGGGGGGAAGCUGUACGCUGAAUUACGUGGCGUAAAGCGGGGGCAGGCGGUUUGCUAAGGCCGAUGUGAAAUCCCCGGGCUCAGCCUGGGAACUGCAUUGGUGACUGGCAGGCUAGAGUAGGGCAGAGGGGGGUAGAAGUCCACGUGUAGCAGUGAAAUGCGUAGAGAUGUGGAGGAAUACCGAUGGCGAAGGCAGCCCCCUGGGCCAAUACUGACGCUCAUGCACGAAAGCGUGGGGAGCAAACAGGAUUAGAUACCCGGGUAGUC
rnacentral:rRNA from 1 species